rnacentral:rRNA from 1 species
GGUUAAGCGACUAAGCGUACACGGUGGAUGCCCUGGCAGUCAGAGGCGAUGAAGGACGUGCUAAUCUGCGAAAAGCGUCGGUAAGGUGAUAUGAACCGUUAUAACCGGCGAUGUCCGAAUGGGGAAACCCAGUGCAAUUCGUUGCACUAUCGUUAACUGAAUACAUAGGUUAACGAGGCGAACCGGGGGAACUGAAACAUCUAAGUACCCCGAGGAAAAGAAAUCAACCGAGAUUCCCCCAGUAGCGGCGAGCGAACGGGGAGCAGCCCAGAGUCUGAAUCAGCUUGUGUGUUAGUGGAACGGUCUGGAAAGUCCGACGGUACAGGGUGAUAGUCCCGUACACCAAAAUGCACAGGUUGUGAACUCGAAGAGUAGGGCGGGACACGUGGUAUCCUGUCUGAAUAUGGGGGGACCAUCCUCCAAGGCUAAAUACUCCUGACUGACCGAUAGUGAACCAGUACCGUGAGGGAAAGGCGAAAAGAACCCCGGCGAGGGGAGUGAAAAAGAACCUGAAACCGUGUACGUACAAGCAGUGGGAGCACCUUCGGGUGUGACUGCGUACCUUUUGUAUAAUGGGUCAGCGACUUAUAUUCUGUAGCAAGGUUAACCGUAUAGGGGAGCCGCAGGGAAACCGAGUCUUAACUGGGCGUUAAGUUGCAGGGUAUAGACCCGAAACCCGGUGAUCUAGCCAUGGGCAGGUUGAAGGUUGGGUAACACUAACUGGAGGACCGAACCGACUAAUGUUGAAAAAUUAGCGGAUGACUUGUGGCUGGGGGUGAAAGGCCAAUCAAACCGGGAGAUAGCUGGUUCUCCCCGAAAGCUAUUUAGGUAGCGCCUCGUGAAUUCAUCUUCGGGGGUAGAGCACUGUUUCGGCUAGGGGGUCAUCCCGACUUACCAACCCGAUGCAAACUACGAAUACCGAAGAAUGUUAUCACGGGAGACACACGGCGGGUGCUAACGUCCGUCGUGAAGAGGGAAACAACCCAGACCGCCAGCUAAGGUCCCAAAGUCAUGGUUAAGUGGGAAACGAUGUGGGAAGGCACAGACAGCCAGGAUGUUGGCUUAGAAGCAGCCAUCAUUUAAAGAAAGCGUAAUAGCUCACUGGUCGAGUCGGCCUGCGCGGAAGAUGUAACGGGGCUAAACCAUGCACCGAAGCUGCGGCAGCGACACUAUGUGUUGUUGGGUAGGGGAGCGUUCUGUAAGCCUGCGAAGGUGACCUGUGAGGGUUGCUGGAGGUAUCAGAAGUGCGAAUGCUGACAUAAGUAACGAUAAAGCGGGUGAAAAGCCCGCUCGCCGGAAGACCAAGGGUUCCUGUCCAACGUUAAUCGGGGCAGGGUGAGUCGACCCCUAAGGCGAGGCCGAAAGGCGUAGUCGAUGGGAAACAGGUUAAUAUUCCUGUACUUGGUGUUACUGCGAAGGGGGGACGGAGAAGGCUAUGUUAGCCGGGCGACGGUUGUCCCGGUUUAAGCAUGUAGGCUGGUUAUCCAGGCAAAUCCGGAUAAUCAAGGCUGAGGUGUGAUGACGAGGCACUACGGUGCUGAAGUAACAAAUGCCCUGCUUCCAGGAAAAGCCUCUAAGCAUCAGGUAACAUCAAAUCGUACCCCAAACCGACACAGGUGGUCAGGUAGAGAAUACCAAGGCGCUUGAGAGAACUCGGGUGAAGGAACUAGGCAAAAUGGUGCCGUAACUUCGGGAGAAGGCACGCUGGUGUGUAGGUGAAGCCCCUGCGGGUGGAGCUGAGACCAGUCGAAGAUACCAGCUGGCUGCAACUGUUUAUUAAAAACACAGCACUGUGCAAACACGAAAGUGGACGUAUACGGUGUGACGCCUGCCCGGUGCCGGAAGGUUAAUUGAUGGGGUUAUCCGUAAGGAGAAGCUCUUGAUCGAAGCCCCGGUAAACGGCGGCCGUAACUAUAACGGUCCUAAGGUAGCGAAAUUCCUUGUCGGGUAAGUUCCGACCUGCACGAAUGGCGUAAUGAUGGCCAGGCUGUCUCCACCCGAGACUCAGUGAAAUUGAACUCGCUGUGAAGAUGCAGUGUACCCGCGGCAAGACGGAAAGACCCCGUGAACCUUUACUAUAGCUUGACACUGAACAUUGAGCCUUGAUGUGUAGGAUAGGUGGGAGGCUUUGAAGCGUGGACGCCAGUCUGCGUGGAGCCAACCUUGAAAUACCACCCUUUAAUGUUUGAUGUUCUAACGUUGGCCCCUUAUCGGGGUUGCGGACAGUGUCUGGUGGGUAGUUUGACUGGGGCGGUCUCCUCCCAAAGCGUAACGGAGGAGCACGAAGGUUAGCUAAUCCUGGUCGGACAUCAGGAGGUUAGUGCAAUGGCAUAAGCUAGCUUGACUGCGAGCGUGACGGCGCGAGCAGGUGCGAAAGCAGGUCAUAGUGAUCCGGUGGUUCUGAAUGGAAGGGCCAUCGCUCAACGGAUAAAAGGUACUCCGGGGAUAACAGGCUGAUACCGCCCAAGAGUUCAUAUCGACGGCGGUGUUUGGCACCUCGAUGUCGGCUCAUCACAUCCUGGGGCUGAAGUAGGUCCCAAGGGUAUGGCUGUUCGCCAUUUAAAGUGGUACGCGAGCUGGGUUUAGAACGUCGUGAGACAGUUCGGUCCCUAUCUGCCGUGGGCGCUGGAGAAUUGAGGGGGGCUGCUCCUAGUACGAGAGGACCGGAGUGGACGCAUCACUGGUGUUCGGGUUGUCAUGCCAAUGGCACUGCCCGGUAGCUAAAUGCGGAAGAGAUAAGUGCUGAAAGCAUCUAAGCACGAAACUUGCCCCGAGAUGAGUUCUCCCUGAGACUUUAAGUCUCCUGAAGGAACGUUAAAGACGAUGACGUUGAUAGGCCGGGUGUGUAAGCGCAGCGAUGCGUUGAGCUAACCGGUACUAAUGAACCGUGAGGCUUAACCUU